CCCUUAGAUGUCCUGGGCUGCACGCGCGUUACACUGAUGCAUUCAACGAGCUUAUAACCUUGGCCGAGAGGCUUGGGCAAUCUUGUUAACGUGCAUCGUGAUAGGGAUAGAUUAUUGAAAUUAUUAAUCUUGAACGAGGAAUUCCUAGUAAACGCAGAUCAUCAAUCUGCAUUGAUUACGUCCCUGCCCUUUGUACACACCGCCCGUCGCACCUACCGAUUGGAUGGUCCGGUGAAGCCUCGGGAUUGUGGUUCUUGCCGCUUUAUUGUGGCGUGACCGCGAGAACUUGUCUAAACCUUAUCAUCUAGAGGAAGGUGAAGUCGUAACA
rnacentral:rRNA from 1 species